rnacentral:lncRNA from 1 species
AGAAGCUCUGAGAAGCAUCCCUCAAUGAUCACAAUGUAUGGAGUUGACCUGACUCUGGGUUGCCUGUUCCCUUCUGAUGGUCAAGAAGAUCUGCUGUAUUUACUCUGUGAACACCACUGAUGCGAUCGUGACAGGAAGUAUGACCUCAUUCUGCUGCCCUGCCUCUAGUUCGGAAAGGCUGAUAUUGAAAGUAAACAAGGCCCGUGAGACUAACUCCCAAGAAUGACAAGCUAUUCUAUUCUUGGAAGCAGCUGAAAGAUCCAGAGGCCCCUGACCACCAAAUUGCCCUGUGAAAGUGGCAGAGACAUGGUCAUCUCCAACCAGAAGGGAAGACGGGGUGCUCUGUGGGAAGUCACUUCUGCACCUGUUGACAUUCUGAUGGGAUUUUUCAGUUGAAGAACGGCUCGGUCCAGCUUUCUGCACUACCAACCACUGGGAAGCUUCGUAUUUCAGUAACCCUCCUGUCAUUUAUCAGUCGGAAGAAGAGCCCGGGGACUCCCUGUGGAGGAAUAUGUAUGAGCAAGUUAUAUUUCAGAACAGAUGCAUUGCUUUGAUGAGCUGGUAGACAGAGUCUGUUUCUUGAAAAGUUCUUGAGCUGUGAAUGCAAGUUGUUUUCACAGUUACUAAUUCUUGACUAGCGGGCAUUAUGCUCACUGUACAUGGCUCCUCGCUUUUGUAAGAUCAAACAGCGAGACCUUGCUUUCUGCUGCACAAUGCCUUGCCUUAAAACUAAGCUUACUGCCUGAGGAAAACUAACAUAUAGUCAUUUGGACUGGACAAAGUCUUAUUGUAUUACUCAAUGCUGAAAUCACAAGGAACAUGCUAGUAUGUUCACUUGUAUGGAUAUUAUCUUUUUCAAACCAGUGAUUUUCUUUUUUAAAAAUGUGUGUCUUUAUUUAGAAAUCUUCCAAAGAAUGCUAGAAAGUUCUGUAUUAUUUAAGACAAUCUUAUAAGCUGGAGUAUAUGAUUCCUUGAAAGGUUCACUAUACAUUAUUAAAUAAUCUAGUUUGAGCCUUAGAGUUGAUGUGACUGAUUUAAUGUAUUAUGUUAUAGCAAUCAAUUAUUAGUUGACAUGUUUAUCAAAAACAGGGACAGAACUACUAGAUCAUAAAAGGCUCUCAUGUCACCUUAUAAAACUACUAGGGUCGUAUUAUACAUAUAUACUUAUAUACAUACAAACAUAUGUAUAUGUAUACACUUAUAUAAUUUAUGUAAUUCAGUAGCUACAUGGAGAUAGAACUAUGUGAUAAGAGGUAACUGAUCAAUAUUUGCACAAAUUGCACACUUUGAAGCAUGCUUACUUUGAAAUUGAAAAGUAAAUUCUAAGCUUUCAGGAAUGUGACUUUGUAAUCUGGGUUGUGGUGGUCUAUUUGUAGCUCAGUAUAGCUUAUGCUGUUUAGGAAUGUUCAGACUGAUAGCCACCACAAAAGCCUUGACCUUCUCCAUGGCCACUUGUCAAUGGCAACAAUCUCCAAGCACUUACUGCAACUCAAUAAUGAAACUAGUUCUGCUGGCUGCUUUAAAUACACAUUUGUUUCAAGGACACUAGAACCAGCCUCUUUUUCAGAUUUCUUAAUUAAGUAACAAAAACCUAUUUAAUCUGGAUGACAAAUAAACCUUUGUAAGUAUU